UACGGAGGAUGCAAGCGUUAUCCGGAUUCAUUGGGUUUAAAGGGUGCGUAGGCGGCUUUUUAAGUCAGUGGUGAAAUCCUGCCGCUUAACGGUAGAAUUGCCAUUGAUACUGAAGAGCUUGAGUACAAUUGAGGUAAGCGGAAUGUGUAGUGUAGCGGUGAAAUGCUUAGAUAUUACACAGAACACCAAUUGCGAAGGCAGCUUACUAAACUGUUACUGACGCUGAUGCACGAAAGCGUGGGGAGCGAACAGGAUUAGAUACCCUGGUAGUCCACGCCGUAAACGAUGAUCACUCGCUGUAUGCGAUACACAGUAUGCGGCCAAGCGAAAGCAUUAAGUGAUCCACCUGGGGAGUACGAUCGCAAGGUUGAA
rnacentral:rRNA from 1 species